UUCCCCUACUUCACUCUCUCUCCUCCCUCACGCUCUUCACCCCUUUUCCCAAUUCUCAGCACUCUCUUCUGAUGCACUCUCUAUUGAUGGAGGCCACAGCUGUCAGCAACCAUUUCCGACCAAGAAAACAGUGAUCGGGACGAACUUACAGAUUGUGUCGGCCUACCAAUAGACUUUAUCAUCAAGAAAUAAUAAUCCCUAUCCACAACCACAAGACAUUCUUUCUCCUCAUCUAGACAGUAUGAAGCGAGGCAACCUUUCCUUCUUGAUCGCAAUGCAGCGAUGGCUGAUGCAUCAGGUUCAACUGUCUCAAGGCUAUGAUUAUGUUGAAUUGAAAGCAAGAUGCUGAGAAAGCCCACCUUUACAAUGUUUACAUCGGCUUUUUGCCUUUUUGUUUUUUUUACCACUGAACCAUUGUAAACAUGAUGUUAUUUCGUGUUACUAGAUACUUCAGAAGUACAAAAUUAUGAUUGUAUUCACUCGUGGCAUUAUGAUAUUCAUAUUAAAAGUGAAAUUUCAGUCCUUAAUGUUAGCUACGCAUUUAUUUCCUUGCAUAUGAGAUACGAAAUUUUUAUCCUAUGGUAUCUAAACUUGCGUUACAGCAAAAGUUCCUAUCUGCUAAUUCCUUCUGAAGCAUCGUGUUUUUCAUUAUUCCAUCUAUGCGGCGACCUUGUAAUUCGAGGAUAUCGGUUAGAUUUCAAGUUUACACUUUCUUAACUUAUCCUUCAUGCCUCUUAGGUUGAAUCCGCUGAGGCAGGAAUUUCAUCAGAUCAAACCAGACCUAAGGUUAUCAAUUCAUGUUUCUUGAUAAAGAUGGAUUUGUUCCUUAGAAAUAGCAUUUCACUUUCUAUAAAAUUAAUUUACAUAAGAUUUUUUUUUUUAAUUUUUAAGUUCUUACAUGCACCAUAUAUUUAAUGAGUCAUUUUGCCAGUUCCCAUGUGUAUAUUGGACUUGCCUAAGUGCUCGGUUUGUGGUGCUAACUCGUAUCAAUCACCUUAUUUUGAAGGACAAAAUAAAGCUAAAUUCUAGCAAAGAUGCAACACGAAGCACCGUAGAAUCAAGCAACUUGCACUAAACAACUAAUAACUGUAUUGAUAA